rnacentral:rRNA from 1 species
UAAUACGUAGGGGGCAAGCGUUGUCCGGAAUCAUUGGGCGUAAAGAGCGUGUAGGCGGUCCGGUAAGUCGGCUGUGAAAGUCCAGGGCUCAACCCUGGGAUGCCGGUCGAUACUGCCGGACUAGAGUUCGGAAGAGGCGAGUGGAAUUCCCGGUGUAGCGGUGAAAUGCGCAGAUAUCGGGAGGAACACCUAUGGCGAAGGCAGCUCGCUGGGACGUUACUGACGCUGAGACGCGAAAGCGUGGGGAGCAAACAGGAUUAGAUACCCUGGUAGUCCACGCUGUAAACGAUGGGCACUAGGUGCCGGCGGUCUUGAUCCCGUCGGUGCCGGCGCUAACGCAGUAAGUGCCCCGCCUGGGGAGUACGGUCGCAAGGCUG